AUGUGAGGGAAGAUUCCCAUAGGUGGCCUUGUUGUGAGUGUUGUGCGUCAGACGCAAAAUUCGAUUGGGUUGGACUGGAUGAGCUGAAGGUAUGGAUGGCAGGCUUUUCCACGAUCAUCUGCUCGACGCUUAGGGACUGGGCAAGCUGAUGCUGCACUAGCCUGCCAUUUUUGCCCAGCUUCAUCAAGAGUUAUGUUGUCAUGUGACCAGUGUUUUAAUGUAACAACUUCUCCAAAGUUUAGCAGUCUUAUGAUUAAUGAGUGUGGUCAUGACAUCAAUAUUUUGUAACAAAAAGCUGUCAAAUUUUACUGCAGGCGCCGCCGCGGACGGCCGGCCGCCGUCAUGACUGAGAGUCGGCUGGAUAUGUCGACCGGCGGCCCUUCGGCCAGCAAGCGGCCGCGUCUGGCCAACCCGGCGCGACCCGACGAGGAGCCGCUGGCG